GAGAGCACUGUGGAGAAAGUGGCGGCUGGCUCUGUCCCAGUUCCUCAGGUCAUGCUACUUGGAAUCCCUCUUCCAGGGAAGGCUAACCAUGAAGUAGACACAAAUCCUCUUCUAGAAAUGAAAUCAGGUCUGAAUAAGAGCUUUGAAUCCAGAUGGCACCAUGUCUUGAAUGCAGACACCUCCUGCCAGUGAAUACACCCUCUUGCAUUGGAUGUGAGUCACCAAUAGCUCCACAGCUGCAGCCCCAAACCAACAUCUGUGUAAAGCUACUCUGCUUGGAUUUGGCUGUGACUCUGUGUAACGGAUGGGAACCUAGCUGAGAGUUGAUUCCCUCUCAUGAGUGAGAGACAUAACACAGGAUGUUUGUGUCACAGUGUAUUGGGUAGAGUAUAUAUGUGUAUGUUCAUGGUGACUGUUUGUCAGAAAGAGGCAGGAAAACAUGAGGGUGCAGCUGUUCUAUGAGCUUCCCACUUGGGCACGCCGGGGCGCCUGCCCAACGCUCUCAACACAGCCAACACUGAGAUGAUGAGAAACUGCACGGCCCCACGAGUAAACAGUGACAGAGCUGGCAUAAAGCCGGUUGUGUUCUAAGGGUAUGAAAGCAGGACGCUCUUGUAGCCGAAUCCAAGGCCUCACCCAUGGGUGGACGCACCGCGUAGGAACUUUCCCAAUUACCUGAGACUCCCGGCAUCGGCUGCAACGGGGCUUCCCAGCUGAAGUGUGGGCCUGGAGGAUGACUCGGUGCUGAUUCAUAGAAUCAUAGAAUAGUUAGGGUUGGAAAGGACCUUAAGAUCAUCUAGUUCCACCCCCCUGCCAUGGGCAGGGACACCACACACUAACCCAUGUCACCCAAAUUGGUGAUGGAUUUCUUCUUAAUCUCUGUUCUCUCUAUGCAGUAAUGAUUUGAUGCAUUGCUCGUUUUCCUCUACUUUACAUUUCCUCACUUUCCUUUACUUAUCAAAACUGAUUUGCUUUCUUCUACUUAUUUACUAUAUUUAGAGAGAUAUAUACCUGAUUUGCAUGAGCGUGCUUAUUUGCUUUAGUGUGCUUGUUUAAUAAACUGUAGCUUGUGGCCAUUUUGUGGUGUACCCUGCCUGUUAGCAGAACAGGCCUAAACCUAACACCUCACUUGUAAAGAUUGUAUAGAUGAUGCUUUUUUCCAUGCUUAACUCUUUUCCCUCCUUUUUCACUACCAUGGACGAAGACACAACAAUCUUUGAGCCACGGGGUGCUGCGGGAGACCAUAUUUUAAGCUGACUGUCUCAAAGCUUGUUUGCAAUCCUGGUGAGCUCACUGUGAGAUGUACAAUUGAGCCAAGCUCAGCUGCUGUGAACAGAUAAGGAACAGGCAGCCACCCAAAACCAGUCUCGACCAAGGUCAAGGCAGGCACAUCGCUGUGGAGGAUGUGCCUGGGCAUGGGUGAGCCCCAACCUCCCAAGGCAUGUGCAGCCCACAGCAAAUGAUCAGGCAGUGUUGGCAUGCACCCUGCGUGCGCCCCUCGGGACCAGCGUGCCAGGACUGAGGGCAUGCGCAGGAAUGCACUAAGACCCUAUAAGAGACUGUGUGAUCCAACGGCGAGUGGAACCCCCCCCACCAAAGUACACGGAGACUACAGACCAGCGGCGUGCCGCUGGAUCCAUGGGGUGACUGUAUCCUGCUGCAGCUCUAUCCCGACUGCUUGCCAGCUUUCCUAUUUUCUCCCUCUUUCCAAUUGCUGUGUUCUUACGGCAGUAAAUAACUACUUUGUUUAUAUAAGUAAGCAAUAAAUCUCUUUGAUUAGUGGCA
rnacentral:lncRNA from 1 species